GAUCUUGGCUCAGGAUGAACGCUAGCUACAGGCUUAACACAUGCAAGUCGAGGGGAAACGACAUCGAAAGCUUGCUUUUGAUGGGCGUCGACCGGCGCACGGGUGAGUAACGCGUAUCCAACCUGCCCACCACUUGGGGAUAACCUUGCGAAAGUAAGACUAAUACCCGAUGAUAUCUCUAGACGACAUCUGAAAGGGAUUAAAGAUUUAUCGGUGAUGGAUGGGGAUGCGUCUGAUUAGGUAGUUGGCGGGGCAACGGCCCACCAAGGCGACGAUGCGUAGGGGUUCUGAGAGGAAGGUCCCCCACACUGGUACUGAGACACGGACCAGACUCCUACGGGAGGCAGCAGUGAGGAAUAUUGGUCAAUGGGCGAGAGCCUGAACCAGCCAAGUAGCGUGCAGGACGACGGCCCUAUGGGUUGUAAACUGCUUUUAUACGGGAAUAAAGUGGGCCACGCGUGGUCUUUUGCAUGUACCGUAUGAGUAAGGACCGGCUAAUUCCGUG
rnacentral:rRNA from 1 species